UUCAAAAGCAUAGUCUCUUGUUGUCACGAUCCAAAAUCCAACUAGUCGUGAUGGCACCUAACUCAACCCGCUAGGUAAGCCAAAUGACAAUAAACUCAGUUCAAAUGAAAAUAAUAUGAGUCAAUAUGCAAAAUAACUGAAGCUCUAUACAAAAACCCAAUGACUGGUAGUACAAGUCAUGAGCCACUAAGAUUUAGAAUUUACAAAACUGAUACAAAAUAAUUACAACAUCUGUUUGGAAUGUACAUAAACAGAAUUCAAAUCUAAAGCUACCAAGGAAAAAUGGUAGCCAUAUCCGAAACGCAUGUACUUCUUCGGUGCCAACUCCCGACUCUCGUCAUCCACAUCAUCUCAAGCUCCAAGAUCUGCACGCAAGGUGCAUAAGUGUAGUAUGAGUAUAACCGACCUUAUGUACUCAAUAAGUAUCGUAACUAACCUUGACGCGGUAAUAGAAGCAAGAAUCAUAAAUGAUACUAUAUGCGGUAAAAAUCAGAGGGUCCGAUUUUAUAGUCAUUAUGACGCUUCGUAGGCACGUCUCCAAAGGCUCGAGACAAUGGUCGAGGUUCAACCCGAGGGGUUAUCAACAAUUAACCUCGGGACAGUGCAGAUCAGUGGUUAUGAUGUAAAAAUGGGAAGUUCCAGGACACGUGAUUUAGGCUGACCAAGUCUAUUAGGCUAGUAUGAGCCCGUACCGUAGCAUUAAAUAGUUGUACCAGCCAUAUACCUUUGUAAUAAAUGUAUUUGUACUAUGUUGGGAUUCCCCCCUCAUAUAUAAAGGGGACCCUUAUCAUUUUUUUUACACAUAUACAACAUCUAAUACAAGAAGAAGAACAUUCUCUGCUCUCUAACUUAAACACAUUCUCUCUUGAUUAUAUUAUUUACAUUUAUUGCUUACAUUUAUUGUGUUUCAUUAAUUGUUCUUCAUUUACUGCCCACUAUUGAUCAUAGAGAGCCUUCAUCAAAGCUCUCAAAACUGUUAGUCCUUCAUCGGUUGUCCACAACUUAGUAUCGAGCUCGACCUCGAGGCCCCGUAUAACCUGUUUCGAGGCCCCGAUUCUUAAUCACUCGGUUUGCCUAAACAUAUUUCUUUCAAGUUCUUAUCUCAUUUUUUAGUCUCAUACUUAGUAUCUACUGCCUAACAACUAGUAUAAAAAUAAAUCACGUAUUUUUAGAACCACAAAAUCAAAUCUAAUUUUAAUUACUAUUUUCAAUGUAAACAGUGUGGCGCCCACCGUGGGACUAAAAAUAAUAGUGAUUGUUUUCUUGCUGGUUUACUAUAUAACGCAAGUUAUCUUUCACACUUUUUCUUGUCCAAGAAUCUUUGAUUUCAGGUCAAAUUAUCUAACUCAGUAAACGCACAUGAAAACAACGGUCUGGAGGACCACGAAGAGAAUGGUGUAGUUGUUCCAGGUGUUGGUAUAACACCACGAAACCCUGAAGAACCAAUUCCCGUAGAUGUGAUCCCGCUCAACGCUCAACACGUCGAUAUCAGCUACCACACCAAUAGGAGUAUACGCCAAUAAAACCAACAAUAAGAUCAGAAAAUCCCAGUGCGAGGCGAGCACAAGGUUAGCCUUCACGUUAUUUUUGAGAUGUUACAAGCGCACCGGAGACGGCUCCUCGAGCCGAGCAGGUACCGGAAAUAUCGAGUAACAAUGGGUCGGCGGCCGACCCCGCUAUUAUGAAGAUGCUCUAAGACCUCACAAAGAGGAUUAAAUCGGGCGAAAAGAUGAUAGAAGCUAAUGACAAAAAGGUGGAGACCUACAAUUCAAGGUUCGACCAGAUCCCGGGCGCACCCCCGAUCCUGAAGGAUGUUUAUUCGAAGAAGUUCGUACAAAAGCCAUUCCCGUCAAGUGCGGCUCCGAAGCCCAUACCGAAGAAAUUCAGAAUGCCCGACAUCCCGAAGUACAACAGGACCUCGGAUCCUAACGAGCACGUCACUACUUACACUUGUGCCGUGAAGGGAAACGACCUUAGGGACGACGAGAUCGAAUCCAUCCUGUUGAAGAAAUUCAGGGAAACACUUUCAAAAGGGGCUAUGAUCUGGUAUCACAACCUAUCCCCAAAUUCAAUAAAUUUAUUUGCCAUGCUGGCAGAUUCUUUUAUAAAGUCACAUGCCGGUGCCAUCAAGGCUACAAGGAAAUCCGACGUCUUCAAAAUCAAACAAAGAGAAAACGAGAUGUUGCGGGAGUUCGUAUCUCGCUUUCAAAUGGAGCAAAUGGAAUUACCACCAGUAUCCGAUGGCUGGGCAGUACAGGCCUUCACCUAAGGCUUAAACGAAUGAAGCUCGGUGGCAUCGAAGCAGAUGAAGCAGAAUUUAGUUGAAUACCCCGCGUGACUUGGUCGGAUGUCCAUAACCGAUAUCAAUCGAAGAUCAGGGUCGAGGACGACCAACUGGGAGCCCCAUCGGGCUCGGUAUACACAAGAAGACUCCUGACAAAUGAGCCAAAGCCAAACAAAGAAAGGUACCAACCAAACACCGAAGAUAGGAGAAACUCCCCAAGGCAUAACAUACCCCGAAAUGAUCGAAGAACAGACCGAGGUCAGAAUCCUCGGGGAAUCGUGAGCAGAGUCGGAUUCGACAGACACACAGGAACGAUAGAGGCACCCCGCCUGUCGGAAUACAACUUCAAUGUUGACGUUUCAGACAUCAUAUCUGCCAUCGAUAAAAUCAAAGACACCAGGUGGCCAAGACUUGUACUAUCAGACCCGUCGCAGAGGAACCCCAACUUAAUGUGCGAAUUUCACAGCACACACGGUCAUAGGACCGAAAAUUACAGACAACUCCGAGAAGAAGUAGCCCAGCUACUCAGCAAAGGGCACCUCCGAGAGUUCCUUAGCGACCGAGCCAAAAAUCAAUUCCGGGAAAGAGAGGCGAACAUGAAGAAUGAGACAAAUAAGCUGCAACAUGUCAUCCACAUGAUCAUUGGAGGAAUCGACAUCCCGUAGGAACCCAUUAUCAAAAGAACAAAAAUAUCCAUCACCAGGGAGAAGCGAACUCAGGGUUACAUACCCGGAGAUUCUCUCACAUUCAGCAACGAGGACAUCGAGACCCUGUCUCAACCUCAUAACGAUGCCUUGGUAAUUUCUUUUCUUGUGAAUACAUUUCAAAUUAAGCGUGUGCUUGUGGAUCUAGGUAGCUCGGCCAACACUAUCAGGUCAAGGGUGUUGGAGCAGCUCGGACUGCUCGAUCAGAUCGUACCCGCCUCUCGAGUCCUUAACGGAUUCAACAUGGCAAGCGAAACAACGAAAGGGGAAAUCACCCUCCCAGUCAACGUGGCCGGCACGACCCAAAAUGUCAAAUUCCAUGUCAUAGAAGGAGACAUAAGGUACAAUGCCUUGCUCGGAAGGCCAUAAAUACACUGUAUGAGAGCAAUACCAUUAACCCUUCAUCAAAUGAUGAAGUUUCCAAUGAAGGACGAAAUAAAAACCAUGUAUAGGGAAUAACAUGCAGCGAGGGAAAUGUUCGUGGUACACGAUGUGGCACCGGCGUCAACACCCCCAACAUCGAAGGAGCCAAAGGAUAAGCAAACAGUGAAGUAGAAAUAGUGAGACACAUUCUCGGCUACACCCGAGUAAAACAAGCAAAGGACCAUGCCGUGUCCUCGAAGCAAACUUUUGAAGCAUAUCGAGGCUCAAAGCGCCAUCACCACUGAGGUAUAACCAUAUCCCUUUUAUUUACAUCUUACAUUAACCUUUGUGCAAAUGUCCAAUCAGAACAGUCGAAGUGUUGUCCAACUUGAAGACCUUAAGGUUUUAAAGUAUACGUUGCACUCUUUUCCUUCGAUCGGGUUUUAUCCCAAGAAGGGAUUUACCGAUAAGGUUUUUAACGAGGCAACACCUAUAUGCUACCUAAGGAGAACUUAACAAGUAUUCAAGGCUUCUCUCCGAUCAACCUCGAACACUGGGGGGCAUCCCCCCAGAAGAUCACCUUCUCGAAGAAGUCAAGAUGAGCCAAAAAGGGUCUCAAUAGGAAAAUGAUGUAUCGGGCCAAACAGUCGAAUGAACCAUGUCCGCGUAGAAUAAUUGAGCCCUUUACGGCAAAAACAUAUAUACUUGUACCAGGUAAUCGAAGAAUAUUUUCCCUCCAUCAAAACUUUUUGAGCUUCAAAGAAGUAUGCCACUUUUACAAGAAAUGGCUCCAGAGCCAGAAAUUUCCCGAACACUCGGGGACUAACGCCAAAAAUUCGAGGCCACAUGACCUCCGGGUCCGAAACUUCGAACUCGUAAGCCCUCAAUGAGGCAAUACUAAGUUUACAAGGAACGGCUCCGGAGCCAAGAAACUUUCGAUGACUUGGGGACUGUCGCCGACUGUCACCCCCAUCGAUUUGUCGAAAACCCGAGGCUAUAAGACCCCAUGCGGGCAACCUCGAGCUCAAGCAAGGCAUGAAUUAUACUUGUACUAAGUAACCAAAUCUGUAAGACCUCAAGCAAGGCGUGAAUUAUACUUGUACCCAGUAACCAAAUCUAUAAGACCUUACAAAAGGCAUAAAUCCCGAUCUUAAAGUUAAGGCUAUACAUUCGAACUUGUAAGACCCCUAAAAAGGCAUACCCUCGAUGUAAACGCUGAAACUACUUCACUCGGGGACUGAAAGGCUCUGGCCAAAUACAAUGACUCCGCUCACAAGGUUCCAGACAAACUCACGCAACUCGGGGACACCCGACCAUUGCUACAAAAUCACAAGCCUUCAAUUACUUUGAAAAAACUUCGAAAAGAAUCAAUUAAUCAGGCUACCCUUGGCAUAAACAAAAGAGCUUCGAUCAUAUAAGCUCCAAACAAUAGGCUUCAAAAAUGGUAAUUCAGCCAUCAUGCGAAACCUCCCGAGGUGCUCAUUUAUCGCUAUACAAUGAUUCACAAUCGAGGUUCUUAUCGAGUCAUCGAAGAGCCGGGCGAACACAAAACUUCAAAAAGUCUUUAGCGAGGAAAAAAUAAAGCCUACAUUAGAGGUCGUACUGACCCAAUGCGUAAGAGCCACUAUUGCCAGCCUAUAUUAGAGGUCAUACUGAUCCAACGCAUAAGAACCACUGUCACCAGCCUAUAUUAGAGGUCGUACUGACCCAAUACGUAAGAGCCACUGUCGCCAGUUUAAAAUUAAAGGUCGUGCCGACCCAAUGCGUAAGAGCCACUGUCGCCAGCUUAAAAUUAAAGGUCGUACCGACCGUACGUAUAAGAGCCUAAGAGUCAGCUUAAAAUUCAAAAACUUAAGGGUCAAUGAGCUCGAGUCAAAAUCCGACUCGAAAACUGAGCCCGAAAUAGUUAACUAAAAAUGCCUAAGGGGAAAUGCGUAAGAGCCUACAAGCCAGCCCAACGAGCCUCAAGGCCGAUUUGCAAACCUUAGGGUUUUACCUCGAAGUCCAGUUCACCUGGACAAUGAUCGACGAACGUAUAAGUUCAAAACAAAGAAAAACAUACUCAAGCAAAGGGAAAUUCAUGGAAGGCGAAAAUCGAAAGGUUACUUUAUUUAUACACAUAUGAAACAAUGCAAGGCUACAUUUGCAAAUGCUCUCUAAGAGCACUAUACAAAGAAUCAAAAAGAAAAAGCCUGGUCUAUUUUCCCCCCGGGGAUUGCGGCCCAAUCGACCUCUUCUCCAUUAUCUUCGGCAUCAGAUACGAGGAAUUUGGCGUUGUAUUCAUCCUCAUUGGCCUGUGCUAUCUCCUCCGAGAGAUCGAAGCCCCUAGCGUGAAUCUCUUCGAGGGUUUCCCUCCGAGAUUUACACCGGGCAUAUUCAUUACUUCUACUCUCUCUAUCGAAAGCACCUCUCAACUUAGCUCGAGCAUCAGCAUCAUCUUUUAAAUAGACGACCACUUUCUUGUUUGCCUUAGCCCGAAUCUAUUCAGCUUCAGCCCGGGUGUCCACGACCUCGGCCUUCAUCUCCAAAAGUCAGACUCGAGCCUUGCAAUUCUGCUCGUUUGAACUGAGCUAUUUUCACGGGCGUUCUGGAGCUGUACCUUAAGGGCAAAAACCUUGGCCAAAGUAUUCUUCUUGGCCGCAAUAUGGGCAUCUAUCUAAGCCUUUAGCUCGUUACACUCACGCUUGGCCUGGCCAACCUCGCCCCUUGGCAUUCCAGAUCCUCUGUCUUGAUCUGCAACUAAAGUAUCAAAAUAUUAAUCUCUGAAGAUAGGAGAAGAAGCAUGCAUUCCCUAAAGGUUACCUGUCUCUCAAGGUGGCUUUCGUAGUUCAGGAUCCGAUUCGCCUUGUACCGCAGGUAUACCAACUCAUCUCCCCUUUUAUCACAAAGAAGCCUGAGGGAUUUCUCCCCAUCCAAGGCUUUCCUCAAACUGGCUUCACAGCGGAGCAGCUCGGACUUGAGCUUAUCAAAGGCCUAUGAAAAAAGAAGCUCAAUGAGAAAACAAAAAUGUAAAAUUAAAAGACCAGCCAAAGCUCACCAGCAAACAAAGUCGUUGAGCCUCCUCAAAGGUUGAGCAUGCAUCUACUGGCCUGGUCCCACCGGCCCCAGUUGAACUAAUCUCGGUAGGGACAUGGUCGCUUGAGACCCUGCUUGAUUUAGGCGGCCCCUGAUUUCGAUCAUCCUUCUAAGUACCUUCGACAGGAGGGGAGGACGAUUCCCUCGAAGUACCUUCGACAGGAAAUGAAGACGGCAGCAUGGGAGGAACCACUUUUCCAAGGCUAGAAGCCUCAGAUGCCGCAGGCUCAGCGGAUAUAUCUUCUUUGAGUCUCCGAGCAGGGCUUGCCUCGCUAUGAGCACCCUCGUCCUUCAAGGACUCAUUUCGUUUGUUAUCGUUACUCGACCCUAAAGCCGACGAUUCUUCCUCCUCCCCGAGGGGGAACGGUCUCAUCUCAAAAAAUUCUCCGACGCCUGCGGUGAUGGAGUUAGUACACAUAAAAAAAGUACCUUUCAAAGAAAACAAGCCACACAGUACGUACCAUGAUGUUUUGCCUUUGAUCUACCCUUGCAUAGAUCUCGCCACUUACGCUUAUCAUAGGUCGAGCGAGCCGCCAGCUUCCAAGCCAAAUCCGUCAGGUCGGGGACCUCGUAUGGCAUCCACGGGGUUGCUGCAAAAAAGAAAAAGAAAGUGUAUUUACAGAAUCCGUCUCCACUAUGAGAAAAAACUAUAAAAACACAAGUGUACCACUUACGUGUGACAUUCCAUUUCUUAGGAAACGGCAGGAACUCCACGAGGAUAACAUCGACAGUCCUUACUUAGACAAAUCGAUCCAUCCACCCUCGGUCCCCAUCUUCUUCAUCAUCGACAACAAAGGGCCUGGUGGAUCAAUAUCGCAAAGCUAUCAGGCCUCAACAAUGAAAGGGUCAGUACAAUCUGAUGAGAUGGCUAAAGGUGAACUCGAGCCUAGCUUCUUUCGCAAAUAACCUCAUCAUCAGUACUAUCCUCCAGAACAAUGGGUGAACCUGUGCCAGGGUAGGCCAAUAUCGUCGACAGAAGUCAAACACGACUCUAUCGAGAGGGCCCAACAUGAAGGGGUAAGUGUAUAUGUGUAAACACCUCUCUGUAUGAGCCGUGAAAGAUGUUCUCUUCUGGGGAAGGUACCUGCAGUACCACCUUUUCUCCCCAUCCACAGUCUCUUCUCACUGCCUCGAGGUGUUCCUCUCCUAUUGAUGAAGUGAACCUUGAUGCAUGAUCCCAAUGACCCCCGACAUUGGGAUAUCUCUCUAAUGAAAAGUCCCUCAUAGAGACAAAGCAUCUUGAGGUUGGCUCGCCAAACGUCGGUGGUGUACCACCGAUUGAGCGGGAAGAAGAGGCAGGACCCUCCUCUUCUUGGUGAACGGAUUCGGGCAUAGCAACCAUGGCUAUUAUAAAACAAUAGAAGGAAGAUGAAAACUCAGGUGAAAGCUUUGAAUUAAAAUGAUGGAAAGGCUAACGCAAGGAAGAAGAACUCUAUGAAAAGGGAUAGCGACUCAAAAUAGCGGAAUCUCCAAAAAGGGAGGAAGCAAACUCAUAUAUAUAUCAAUCGGCGACUGUCCGCCUACUCUAAAGGCUAAUUACUUCUGACUAGGCCAUUAUCACUUUCGGAAAAAUGUACCAAUGGGCCAUCCCGGGAGCUUCAUGGUCAUGCCAUACAAGUAAAGUUGUCGAACAACGUUCGAGGGGUCAGAGAUUCCCGUAUCGAUCCAGCAUCGAGAUGAUGCCCAAUCUCGAUGAUCUCUGCUACCAUAACUAUAGGGUCUAAGGAGCCAUUAAUAUCAAUCUAAGUUUCGAGGUGGUGUCCGACCUCGAGGAUCUUUGUCAAAGUGGAUAAAAGCUCUAAGGAGUUUUCGACACCAAUUUAGCCUCGAGAUGGUGCCCGAUCUCGAGGACCUUGGUAUUACAUGUCACACCCCCUGUUUUACAACCUCACUACCCUCUUAAAUAAAUAAAAGGGAUUUGUAAAGCUCAAAAGGUUUUCAAUUAUGAAAGUGACAAAGGAUUGUAUUUCAAAAGAUAUUUCCGAGUCGCCACCUAACAUUGGUUUCGGUGUGCCAGGUCACUAUUUUUUAAAAAUAAGUUUUCUGUUAAAAUACUUUGGACUCCAAAACUAAGUUCGCACUAGAGAUUUGGGUAAAGGGGGUUCAUUUGACUCGGGGAGAAGGUGUUAGGCACUCCCCAAGUCCCGUGAAGCUCACGGUUGCGUACUCAAUCUAGUUGGCUUUUAAAAUAUUCAAAUUGAGGUAAAAUCACAAAAAGAAAAAUAAACACAAAAGAGGCCCGAGGUCGUCCCCACCUAAAUAAAAGAAAUAGAAAAAUGAAAAUAAAGAUACUACAAGUUCUAUUUUCGGUCUCCGAAUACAAAUACUAUGGGGCAUACCCCGGAUAAAUUUAUACAAAGUCUACAGGGCAUACCCCGGAUAAAUUUAACUAAAUGGGGUGACCUCUCAAAAUUAAACAAACAAAAUCCUAAAGUUUGUCUAUCCAAGCGUGGUUGGUCUAUAACAUAUUACUACCAAACCCAUGUAGGCAAAAAUACAAAUAAAAACAAAAUUAAGUCCAUUCCCCAAUUUCGUCUCAGGCCCAACAUUUGUAUCUUUUUAAUAUCCUUUUUAAUAUCUUUAAUUGAGUUCUUUUCUCCAGCCAAACAAUCAUUUGAAUCUCAAACAGUUGUUCAACUCUCCUUAAUUAAGUUCAAACCUCCACUGCCCGUUUAUCUUAUUUACUUAAGAAGUAAUUACCAAAAAAACAAAAACAAAAAAAGUAGAACGAUCAAUCAAAUAAAGGAACUGAACCCAAAGAUUUGUUUGAGCAGAAUAUUUCAAUAAUAGACACUAACAAACAAACAUGACACUCACGAAAUUAAUCAACAAAAUAAUAUCACCAAGUAAUCGCGUACAUGAAACUAAAGAAGAGUAAAUAGAUAAGAAAAAGAUAAGAGUGGACCUCAAAUUAGCAAAUGGUCACCUUCGAUAACUGGACUGAAAGUCGAACAAUGUGUAUUAUUAAACAAAUCUAAAAAUGAGCAAGGAACAGCUAUCAGACCUUCGAACUAAGAACGGAACCAACGAACAGACCACCUAUCAAUAGUGAAACUACACCGGCGACUUCGACGGAACUCAAGCUCGAAAUUGAGUCGGUGAAGGGACUUUUGGCUAAAACAGUAGUGGUACCGCCAUCUCUGAGUUCUUCCGUCACUUUGCUCUAUCCGUGCCUGUGUGUGCGUGUGUCUUUUUUUGGUGUCGAAUUCCGACGAGAUGGCCAAAGGUGGGCGGUUGGAGAUGGGGUAUGCGGUUGUCUCUUGGGGUAGAGGAGUUAGGGUUGAUUUUGUGGUGAAGAGAGAGGAAUUCUGCAGCUAAAUGGUCUUGGAGAUGAAGAAGAAAGGUUGGUCGUUGCUAGCUCUUGAAGGCGUGCGGCGCUAGGGAUUUUUUUUCCGUCUCUCCCCUCUCUCUAAGUGAUGUGUAUGGGCCAUUUAUAUAAUAUCUUACCAUGGACUGUGUGUGCUUGGAAAAGAAGUAAAGAUCUGUCUAGAAAAUAUGUGGUCCCCACAAUAUAAAAAAUGAAAUCUCAAUAUGGUGGUGCAGUGAAUUCCUUACUGCCUAGAGAAAAGUAAUUUGUAUGUAAAUAAAAAAUGAAAUGCAUUACUAAUGUGGUGUACAGGAAAUUGGCGUGAGUGAUCUUAUAAAAAAUUUUUAGAAAGAAAGUUUGUUAUCCAUGAUAAGAUGGAAUCUUAGCAAUUUUAAAAGAAAUUUUGUUAGUUCCUCCUUACCCCAAAAUGUUGAAAUAAGAUUAAACCAACUACUUUUAUUUCAAAGAAGCUAAAAUAGCACUACAACAAAACUACUACUAAUAUAAUAAAACUUAAAAACAUGUGACUAUUUUUUGGUAAUUUUCAAUUUCACUAGUAAGAUAAACUUAAAAUUUGCUAGACAAAAAAUAAUAAUUAUCUAAAAAAAGUAUUAAAGAAAGAAAAAAAACAAAUUAGCUAUACUAAAGAAAUCAGAAUACUAUUAAAUAACUACUAUUAAUAACUAAAUUAUGUAAAGAAUAUUUUUUUUGAAGCCUUGCUUUUUUAUCUUUUGAAGAACAAAAUGUCAAAACUAUUUUAGUAUUUUUAGUUUUAUUGAAAGUAUGAUAAAUUAAAAGUAACUAGAUAAAAUACUAAUUAACUAGAAUAAAGGAAAAUAUUUUUGUGAUUUUCAUUCUUUUAGAUAAAGUAAAGCAAAAGAGUCAAAACUAGUUUAAAUAGCAAUAUUAGACCUAAACUAAAUAUCUAAACACUAAAAUGUGUAAAAUUUCGAGGAGGGUCAAAAUUACAUGUCUACAGCUGCCCCUCUUUGACUAGAAACACGAAGAGUUUUUAGACAAAGAACGACGAGACAGGUUUUUUGACUCGACCCUUAUUUAGAGGGACCAAAAACUAAAAGAGGGGAAAAUGUGACCGAGCCCUAGUAUCUGAGCUGCCUACAUAUCCUUGGCUAUAAAGGAAUUAGGCCAUGUGUAGUCCAGAGGUAGGAAUAGUGAUGGAGUGUACCGAGGUAGAGACCCGAUUGAGGUGCCGUCGAAGUUCCGAUCUACGGUCCGGUUAUUACAUCAAAUCAAAAUCUAAAAGAACUAAGCAAGCCUAUCAGCUAUGAGUUACAAGAUCCCCAUCUACAAGUCUACUGAAGCUUGAUCUUGAGUCUUGAAUGGUUCUUCAUGUAGACUUUUUGAUUUGAAGCUUGAUGCUUGCUAGCUACAGGUAUUGAUUCAUUCCUCCACGACUUCUUUGGAUCAAGACCGGGCAUGCAGUGCUCAUAACUUCAACCAUGUCUUGAGCAGUUCACAUCUUUCACCUGUUUCUGCAUUUUGGAUUCACUUCUCUCUUUUUUUCUUUCUUUUAUUCUGGAUUGAGACUACUUCUGUUGGUCAUCUCGGACUGUUGAUUCGCAUUUUUGCCGCGAGCUUCUGCUACUUCUAACUUGAAUUAAAUUCUGAAAUGACUUCCCUUGUUUUUGAGGUGGGCGCCUGCUAUUGACUUGAAAUUUGAAGUGACUCUGAAAAGAACUUGAAAUGGAUUCCCUCGUUCUCCAGGUGGGCGCCUACGACUUUCUUGAAACUUGAAAUGAAUUCUCUCGUUCUCCAGGUGGGCGCAUGCGAUCAAAACAACAAAAUAAACAAAAUUUUCUGCCUUAGUUUGCACUAGGAAGAUCUGUGAGUUGUUAGCAAAAUCGUAAACCACUUAUGCUAUUGAUGCAAUGAUGAGAGUAAGCUAAAGACUCGACUAGGAUGUGCGUCUCCUGUAAGUAAAACCAAUAAACUUUGACUAGCAAAUACGUCUGCUAAUAAUAAAACCUGAAUGACCCAAACUAGGAAGUGCGUCUCCUGGGGAUGAAACUUGAAUGAACCAAAACUAGGAAGUGCGUCUCAUAUGGGUAAACUCUUAAUUUAGGAAGUGCUUCUCCUAAAACAAAUAUAACUUGAAAACCCUAGACUAGGAAGUGCAUCUCCUAGAGGUAAAACUUCAAUGAUUCAAAUUAGGAAGUGUGUCUCAUAGGAAUGAACUUAAAUGACCCAAAACUAGGAAGUGCGUCUCCUAGGGGUGAAACUUCAAUGAAUCAAACUAGGAAGUGCGUCUCCUAGGAAUGAACUUAAAUGACCCAAAUCUAAGAAGUGCGUCUCCUAGGGAUGAAACUUGAAUGAACCAAAACUAGGAAGUGCGUCUCCUCGGGGUAAAACAUGAAUGACUCAANN
rnacentral:lncRNA from 1 species